rnacentral:rRNA from 1 species
GACGAACGCUGGCGGCGUGCUUAAUACAUGCAAGUCGAACGGUGAAGCGACUUCCUUUUUGGUGUGUGUGGAUGAGUGGCGAACGGGUGAGUAACUCGUUAGUAACCUUCUACGUCUUUCUGGAUAACCGCAUGACAGAGUGGCUAAUACGGGAUAUUUUGGGUCUGUCGCUUGAUGGGUCUGGGACAGAUUUUGUUUCGGUGGGAGAUGGGUCCGCGGCCUAUCAGCUUGUUGGUGGGGUGAUGGCCUACCAAGGCGGUGAUGGGUAGCCGGCCUGAGAGGGUCGGCGGUAACACAGGUGAGGAAGCACCGCGCAGACUACGACGGGAAGCAGCAGGGGGGAUUAUGGCACAAUGGGCAGAAGGCUGGUGCAGCGACGCGGCGGUGAUGAUGGAGGCCUGCGGGUAGUAAACUGCUUUCGCCAGUGAAGAAAGGCGGACGCGUUUGUGGAUGGGUUGACGGUAGCUAGAUAAGAAGCGCCGGCUAACUACGUG